GACGAACGCUGGCGGCGUGCUUAACACAUGCAAGUCGAACGGAAAGGCCCUGCUUGCAGGGUACUCGAGUGGCGAACGGGUGAGUAACACGUGGGUGAUCUGCCCUGCACUUCGGGAUAAGCCUGGGAAACUGGGUCUAAUACCGGAUAGGAGCCAUUUUUAGUGUGAUGGUUGGAAAGUUUUUUCGGUGUAGGAUGAGCUCGCGGCCUAUCAGCUUGUUGGUGGGGUAAUGGCCUACCAAGGCGGCGACGGGUAGCCGGCCUGAGAGAGUGGACGGCCACAUUGGGACUGAGAUACGGCCCAGACUCCUACGGGAGGCAGAAGUGGGGAAGAUUGCACAAUGGGCGCAAGCCUGAUGCAGCGACGCCGCGUGGGGGAUGACGGCCUUCGGGUUGUAAACUCAUUUCGCUAGGGACGAAGCUUUUUGUGACGGUACCUAGAUAAGAAGCACCGGCUAACUACGUG
rnacentral:rRNA from 1 species